AUUGAACGCUGGCGGCAGGCCUAACACAUGCAAGUCGAGCGAGCGGCGGACGGGUGAGUAAUGUAUGGGGACUGCCCGAUAGAGGGGGAUAACUACUGGAAAAGGUGGCUAAUACCGCAUACUGUCGGGUACCCCAUCUGGGAUUAGCUAGUAGGUAAGGUAAAGGCUGACCUAGGCAACGAUCCCUCGCUGGUUUGAGAGGAUGAGCAGCCACACUGGGACUUAGACACGGCCCAGACUCCUACGGAGGCAGCAGUGGGGAAUAUUGGACAAUGGGCGCAAGCCUGAUGAAGCAAGCCCGCGUGUAUGAAGAAGGCCCUAGGGUUGUAAAGUACUUUCGGUAGAGAGGCGGUACCGACAGAAGAAGCACCGGCUAACUACGUGCCAGCAGCCGCGGUAAUAC
rnacentral:rRNA from 1 species